AUGGCCGCUCCUCCGCGACGACACCAACCGUCCAGAAGCGGAGUCGCCGCCUCGACCCGGGGUCCCCCCGUCCCCGUUGUGCUCGGCGCCACGCCCAUCCCGAGGCACCACCCGCUCGUUGUCGGCUCGCCCGAGCCUGCCAAGAAGUCCGCCGUGCCGCGGAGGGGCUCCUGGGCCGAGAAGCAUAGCGGCGCCGGCUAUGCCGGGGUGAUUGCAUCACCCAAGGUUGUCAGGCCCAUCGCGCUCAACUUCGAGGAGAGGACGCCCGUCAAGGGGCGGCCCUCGCCAGCGCAGAGCUCGGCGUCGAGGAGAGGUCCAUCGCCGCUGAUGAAUAUCGCGAGCGAGCGAGCCAGCGGCCGUGCGUGCAUCGGGACACGCAGCAAGGAGGAUGAUCUACUACCCUACGGAAGGGAAGGAAGAGGCCGCCGGCGAGCGAGGCACGGCCACGGCGUUGGACUCACCGGGGACGUCUGCUCCUCCCGAGCUCUCCUUUUUGUCCAUUUUUGUUCACUACUACCUGAAGGAAACUGUACUGGAUAG
rnacentral:rRNA from 1 species